rnacentral:rRNA from 1 species
AGUGAACGCUGGCGGUAUGCCUAACACAUGCAAGUCGAACGGCAGCACAGUAAGAUCUUGCUCUUACGGGUGGCGAGUGGCGGACGGGUGAGGAAUACAUCGGAAUCUACUUUUUCGUGGGGGAUAACGUAGGGAAACUUACGCUAAUACCGCAUACGACCUACCGGUGAAAGCAGGGGAUCUUCUGACCUUGCGCGAUUGAAUGAGCCGAUGGCGGAUUAGCUAGUUGGCGGGGUAAAGGCCCACCAAGGCGACGAUCCGUAGCUGGUCUGAGAGGGUGAUCAGCCACACUGGAACUGAGACACGGUCCAGACUCCUACGGGAGGCAGCAGUGGGGAAUAUUGGACAAUGGGCGCAAGCCUGAUCCAGCCAUACCGCGUGGGUGAAGAAGGCCUUCGGGUUGUAAAGCCCUUUUGUUGGGAAAGAAAAGCAGCAGGUUAAUACCCCGCUGUUCUGACGGUACCCAAAGAAUAAGCACCGGCUAACUUCGUG